UGGGGAAUAUUGGACAAUGGGCGAAAGCCUGAUCCAGCCAUGCCGCGUGUGUGAAGAAGGUCUUCGGAUUGUAAUGCACUUUAAGUUGGGAGGAAGGGCAGUAAGCGAAUACCUUGCUGUUUUGACGUUACCGACAGAAUAAGCACCGGCUAACUCUGUGCCAGCAGCCGCGGUAAUACAGAGGGUGCAAGCGUUAAUCGGAAUUACUGGGCGUAAAGCGCGCGUAGGUGGUUCGUUAAGUUGAAUGUGAAAGCCCCGGGCUCAACCUGGGAACUGCAUCCAAAACUGGCGAGCUAGAGUAGGGCAGAGGGUGGUGGAAUUUCCUGUGUAGCGGUGAAAUGCGUAGAUAUAGGAAGGAACACCAGUGGCGAAGGCGACCACCUGGGCUCAUACUGACACUGAGGUGCGAAAGCGUGGGGAGCAAACAGG
rnacentral:rRNA from 1 species